UACAGAGGUCUCAAGCGUUGUUCGGAUUCAUUGGGCGUAAAGGGUGUGUAGGUGGCGCGCUAAGUCGGGUGUGAAAUUUCGGAGCUUAACUCCGAAACUGCAUUCGAUACUGCCGUGCUUGAGGACUGGAGAGGAGACUGGAAUUUACGGUGUAGCGGUGAAAUGCGUAGAUAUCGGAAGGAACGCCGGUGGCGAAAGCGACGGACUGGAUCUCUUCUGACGCUGAGGCGCGAAAGCCAGGGGAGCAAAGCGGG
rnacentral:rRNA from 1 species